rnacentral:rRNA from 1 species
GAUGAACGCUGGCGGCGUGCCUAAUACAUGCAAGUCGAGCGAACGGACGAGAAGCUUGCUUCUCUGAUGUUAGCGGCGGACGGGUGAGUAACACGUGGAUAACCUACCUAUAAGACUGGGAUAACUUCGGGAAACCGGAGCUAAUACCGGAUAAUAUUUUGAACCGCGUGGUUCAAAAGUGAAAGACGGUCCUGCUGUCACUUAUAGAUGGAUCCGCGCUGCAUUAGCUAGUUGGUAAGGUAACGGCUUACCAAGGCAACGAUGCAUAGCCGACCUGAGAGGGUGAUCGGCCACACUGGAACUGAGACACGGUCCAGACUCCUACGGGAGGCAGCAGUAGGGAAUCUUCCGCAAUGGGCGAAAGCCUGACGGAGCAACGCCGCGUGAGUGAUGAAGGUCUUCGGAUCGUAAAACUCUGUUAUUAGGGAAGAACAUAUGUGUAAGUAACUGUGCACAUCUUGACGGUACCUAAUCAGAAAGCCACGGCUAACUACGUG